GACGAACGCUGGCGGCGUGCUUAACACAUGCAAGUCGAACGAGAAUCUACUGAAAGAGUUUUCGGACAAUGGAAGUAGAGGAAAGUGGCGGACGGGUGAGUAACGCGUGAGGAACUUGCCUUGAAGAGGGGGACAACAGUUGGAAACGACUGCUAAUACCGCAUGACGCAUAGAGGCCGCAUGAUCUUUAUGCCAAAGAUUUAUCGCUUCAAGAUGGCCUCGCGUCUGAUUAGCUGGUUGGCGGGGUAACGGCCCACCAAGGCGACGAUCAGUAGCCGGACUGAGAGGUUGAACGGCCACAUUGGGACUGAGAUACGGCCCAGACUCCUACGGGAGGCAGCAGUGGGGAAUAUUGGGCAAUGGGCGCAAGCCUGACCCAGCAACGCCGCGUGAAGGAAGAAGGCUUUCGGGUUGUAAACUUCUUUUAAGAGGGAAGAGCAGAAGACGGUACCUCUAGAAUAAGCCACGGCUAACUACGUGCCAGCAGCCGCCGUAA
rnacentral:rRNA from 1 species